rnacentral:rRNA from 1 species
AUUGAACGCUGGCGGCAGGCCUAACACAUGCAAGUCGAACGCGAGGAGGAAGGGUGAGUAAUGUCUGAGAAACUGGCCGACGGAGGCGGAAAACUACUGGAAACGGUAGCUAAUAGCGCAUACCACCGGAUCGGCCCAGGUGGGAUGAGCUAGUGGGUGGGGUAACGGCUGACCGAGGCGAAGCAUCCUAGCUGGUCUGAGAGGAUGACCGGCCACACUUGAACUGAGACACGGUCCAGACGCCUACGGUAGGCAGAAGUGGGGAAUAUUGCGCAAUGGGGGCAAGCCUGAGCCAGCCAUGCCGCGUGUAUGAAGAAGGUCUUCGGGUUGUAAAAUUCUUUUAUCGAGGAGGCGUUACACGCAGAAGAAGCACCGGCUAACUCCGUGCCAGCAGCCGCGGUAAUAC